GACGAACGCUGGCGGCGUGCUUAACACAUGCCAGUCGAGCGGAAAGGCCCUUUCGGGUGUACUCGAGCGGCGAACGGGUGAGUAACACGUGAGUAAUCUGCCCUUCACUUCGGGAUAACCUCCCGAAACGGGGGCAAAAACCCGAUACCACCAUUCCUCCCAUGCUGUGGAGGUGGGAAGUUUUUCGGUGGGGGAUGUGCUAGGGGCCUUCCCGCUUGUUGGUGGGGUAAUGGCCUACCCAGGCUACGACGGGUAGCCGGCCUGAGAGGGUGACCGGGCACAGUGGGACUGAGACAGGGGCAGGAGGCAUACUGCAGGCAGGAGUGGGAGAGAGUGGAAAAUGGGCGGAAGCCGGAUCCAGCAACUCCGCGUGGGGGAUGACUGCCUUCGGGUUGUAAAGCUCUUUCACCGGUGACGAAGAGAAAGUGACGGUAGCAGGAGAAGAAGCACCGGCCAACUACGUG
rnacentral:rRNA from 1 species